rnacentral:rRNA from 1 species
UUGGAGGGCAAGUCUGGUGCCAGCAGCCGCGGUAAUUCCAGCUCCAAUAGCGUAUAUUAAAGUUGUUGCAGUUAAAAAGCUCGUAGUUGAAUUUCGGGAUUAGUACGUUGGUCGUGCCUUCGGUACGUACUGGUGUUACUGAUUCCUACCUUCUGACGAACCAUCAUGUCAGUAAUUUGGUGUGGUGGGGAAUCAGGACUGUUACUUUGAAAAAAUUAGAGUGUUUAAAGCAGGCUCGCGCUUGAAUACAUUAGCAUGGAAUAAUGAAAUAGGACGUUGACCCUAUUUUGUUGGUUUCUAGGAUUGACGUAAUGAUUAAUAGGGAUAGUUGGGGGCAUUAGUAUUCAAUUGUCAGAGGUGAAAUUCUUGGAUUUAUUGAAGACUAACUACUGCGAAAGCAUUUGCCAAGGAUGUUUUCAUUAAUCAAGAACGAAAGUUAGGGGAUCGAAGACGAUCAGAUACCGUCGUAGUCUUAACCAUAGACUAUGCCGACUAGGGAUCGGAUGAUGUUAUUUUUAAUGACUCAUUCGGCGCCUUACGGGAAAC